AGCCUCCUGAGUAGCUGGGACUACAGGCGCCUUGCCACUAUGCCCGGCUAAUUUUUUUUGUAUUUUUAGUAGAGAUGGGGUUUCAGCGUGUUAGCCACGAUGGUCUCGAUCUCCUGACCUCCUGAUCCGCCCGCCUCGGUCUCCCAAAUGCUGGGAUUACAAGCAUGAGCCACAGCACCGGGCCUUGGACUUAAUUUUUUUAAUAUUAAUUAGUGUAACUUUUUCAGAGUCUGUGUCUUGUGCUGUGGUUUGUUUGUGAUAAAUGUCCAGAUUUAUUGUUUCUCUGGGCACCCUUGGAAGAUAGAUAAUCCUUUGUCUUCUGGCAUCUGCAUAACUGUCUGGCAAGGAGAGACGAUUGCUCAAGUAUCAUUAUUAGUCCAAACUUUUCUUAAAACAGAAAUGAAGGAACUGAGGCAGUAAAAUAAACAGAACCUUGCCUUGGGCCUCCCAAAUCCUCCCAGUCCCACCUUUUCCUCGUGAGCCUCAGAUUCCUGUGCAGAGCUGCCUCACCAAUAUGUUGUGCCAUUUCCUAUUCCUGGAAAAGCCCUGGAGACUGCAAGGGUGGUGUCUCACUAUGUUGCCCAGACUGUUUUCUAACCCUGGCCUCAAGCAAAUUUCCCACCUCCUUCUCCCAAAAUGCUGGGAUUACAAGUGUGAGCCACUGUACCCAGCCUACUUAGGAGGACAUUUACUAUUCACUUACUGAUUUGCAUCAAAUUAUUGAUUGGUGGUGUUUCAGAAGGUGGAAGCUCUGCCAGCCCCACAUACAGCCUGAGUGAGACAUGCCAUUCAUUUGUUAAGCAGCUGAGGGUUUGUAACUGCUUGUGACUGCGGCAUGUCCAAGAAUGUUUUGUCUGAUGCACGACAAUGAGUGAAUAUAUAAUGAUUCAACAAGAGCCAUAGAGUUUUAAAAUGUGUUACAUUUUAUAGGAAAUACAGUUACUUAGACUUAUAAAAACAAGAUAUUCUCAGAAUAUUUUUCAUACUGAUUUACCUCUACUUGUCUUACUGGUGUCUAUGAGCUCAACUCAAGAUUUCCAAUCAAAUAACAACGAUAUGGAUUCACCUGGUGGCCAAGCAACAAUGUAAGAUAUUUAGAGUAGAGUCCUCAGAACAUUUUGCUGUGUUUGAAGAUGCUCAGGGUAAGUUAUAGUAUUCUGAGUUUUGUAUUUCACUACAACAAAUGCUUGUCUUUAUUUUCUUUCUUUUUUUUCAAGACGAGGACAGAAGAGAUUGAGAAUCAUGGUUAAAAGAGAAAAAACAAAACUCACUUGGGCCGUCUUUAAAUGUAUACAGAUAGGUGUUUGGUAGGCCCUAGCAUGCUUAAACUUAGGUUUCAGUAUGCAUGGGCCUUCCAGGAAACUGGCUGGGAAGACACACAAGAAAUUUAUAUCCUGUAAGGGACUGAGGCCAGAGAGAGAGGGGCUCAGCACAGCUGGUAUCAGAGCCAUGCUAUAACACUGGGUGCUGCCAAAGAAAGACACUAUGGAACAUGAUGCAAAUGCUGUUUCAUGAAGGCACACAACACCAUCUACAUGCAGGUACUAAAGCAAUGGAAACAGCACAGCACCCUCCUUCUCAGGAACCACUGCACUGAUCACUCCUUGUGCAUGACUAAGCAGCCUCACUCAGCAGGGCUUGGCAGGGGAGUCUGCCAGAUGUCGUAAAGCUCAGAAACAGAAAAAUGAUGAGAGAGGAUGGGAUGCCCAGGAACAUAGUCACUGCCCCUUGGGAGCAGGAGCACCUCGUGGAAGUGGCAGCUCUGCCCCGAGAAGUGGGCAAGUUGGAGCCUGAGUCUAGCAGGGUUUUGGGCCUUUUGCAGAGGUCUGGCCUCUACAUGCGGGUGUUGCUGAAAAGUUAGAGGAACUUUUCUGGAGUCGUGAGUGCAUGUUGGGGCAAAACUCAGUAGAAUUUGAGUGAUUAUUUCAAACACAAAUACAAUUCUACCCACAAAUAGGUGAAGCCAAGAGAAACUGGCCAUUUAUGGGUCUAUGCAACUACAUUUAACUUAUACACACAUAUAGAAUUAGUAUUGAUGUUAAGGGUAGAAAUGCUGACAGAGCGGUGACCAUGUGUAAAUUAGGAAAUAAGAAAUAUUAAGGCAUUGUUGUUUCAGAAAGUUCAAACUAUCCAUAUAAAUGAGUAAAAUCUGAUUAUCAGUUAACUAGCUGCUAUGCAAGAUGCAUAUAUUAUCAUAAAAGCAAAAUAAUAUUUCAAUGAUUUAUAAAAAUAAGAGAAACUAACACAUCUGGAUAAAGAAUCCAAUUAUGCCUAUCUAAAGCAACUAUCCCCAACAGAUCAAACUGUUUUGCAAUCUUAUCUCUCAUGACUAUGAUUGUAAUUUAUAUUAAAACAACUAUUGAGGCCAAAAAUAACUCAGAGCUAAAUUGUUCAAAUAGCUAUGUUAAAAGGCAUCUCACUUUUGUCAUUUCAGUACAAAUGGGAUUCUCAUUGGGAACAUAGAAAGUUAGUUUGCUAGGAUGACUAUUGAAACCUUAAGGUGAAAAAGCUUGCUCUUACUGAGAAAAUCCCAUCAUGAGUUGUGGGAUUCAAUUCAAACGAGACACAAAGGAUAAAGAAACACUAAGAAAAUAUGCAUAAAAAAGACAUAUAUUAAAAUGAAAAUCUGUUGAGUCAUAACUGUAACACAUCUUUAGAGGUGGCAGCUUUACAAUCAAAUAAAUAAUAUUUUGACACUUUCCAUAACAUUAUGUUUAAUCUCCUUUCAAUUACAUCCAUCUGACCGUCUUUCCAGGUACUUUGAAUCACAAUUCACGUGUCAGAACUUUAUUUUGUUCUAAAGAAUGAAUUUCAAGAAAAAAAAUCCUUAUGUUUCAUUCGUAUAUCAUGAAAUGGGCAUUCAACACUUUUCUUGAUUUGUAUGGUUAGCUGAAAUGGAUAAAUCAGACACAUAUGAUACUGGUCCAAUUAAAGUGAAUGUGCACAAACUACCUUUUAAAGUUUUGGGUAGUCAUUAUAAAUUGAUCUGGAUGUUAAAAUUCACUCAAAAAUUUCAAAGAAUUUCUUGUGAAUCAAAAAUAUCUUGAAAGUCAAAAGAUUAGGAGAAAUACAUUUACUGUGAUUUAAAAGAACACUCGAUCCAUUUUUAAAAUAUUUAGUAAUAUAUAAUUUAUUAUUUCACUCAUCUGUCUCAGUAUAAGGAAUUUGGUGACAUUUCUAUUUAUGCUUUUAGAGGAAACAUCUGAUUCUAAGGUUCAAAGCGUGAGACUGUAAGGCUUUUACAAACACAGAAAUUAAUGAGGAAGGUCACCAUGCAGUCUAUAACUAUCACAGACAUUUUUUAAUGCAACAAUUUACUGGAUUAGCUAUCAGAAAGUCAAGGAGGUGAUUCACUACCAUACAUGAAAAUAAAGUAUAAAAUACUGGUUUUGACAGUGCAACUACACUUUUAUAGCUGUUUUGUCAGUUUCUCACAAAUUUCCUCAAAUGGACAUAUCAUUACUUGAAUAGUAAUCAGCAAUUUAUUUUCAGGGGUUUUUUUGCAAUAAAAAGAAAUGCCUUCACUCAUAAAACAUAAUGAAGAGAAAGGCACUUUAUUUAAGAAUAGAGGAAUGCAUUAUGCCUCUUGAAUAUAUAGUACAUUAUUUAUAAUCUACUGCUGCAGUUACUGUUGUAUAUCCU
rnacentral:lncRNA from 1 species